CACAGAAUUAAUACAUCAUAGACAGUGGAAGUGCAAGCUUUUCCACAUUGCCCUGACAAGGUGCCUCAAAUCUCAGUUGGAGCAAAUGGUCCAAA
rnacentral:sRNA from 1 species